GCUGAUUUGAGAGGAUGAUCAGCCCAUUGGGACUGAGACACGGCCCAAACUCCUACGGGAGGCAGCAGUGGGGAAUCUUGCACAAUGGAGGAAACUCUGAUGCAGCGAUGCCGCGUGAGUGAAGAAGGCCCUUGGGUUGUAAAGCUCUUUCGUCGGGGAAGAAAAUGACUGUACCCGAAUAAGAAGGUCCGGCUAACUUCGUGCCAGCAGCCGCGGUAAUACGAAGGGACCUAGCGUAGUUCGGAAUUACUGGGCUUAAAGAGUUCGUAGGUGGUUGAAAAAGUUGGUGGUGAAAUCCCAGAGCUUAACUCUGGAACUGCCAUCAAAACUUUUCAGCUAGAGUUUGAUAGAGGAAAGCAGAAUUUCUAGUGUAGAGGUGAAAUUCGUAGAUAUUAGAAAGAAUACCAAUUGCGAAGGCAGCUUUCUGGAUCAUUACUGACACUGAGGAACGAAAGCAUGGGUAGCGAAGAGGAUUAGAUACCCUCGUAGUCCAUGCCGUAAACGAUGUGUGUUAGACGUUGGAAAUUUAUUUUCAGUGUCGCAGCGAAAGCGAUAAACACACCGCCUGGGGAGUACGACCGCAAGGUUAAAACUCAAAUGAAUUGACGGGGACCCGCACAAGUAGUGGAGCAUGUGGUUUAAUUCGAAGAUACGCGCAGAACCUUACCAACACUUGACAUGUUCGUCGCGACUUUAAGAGAUUAAAGUUUUCGGUUCGGCCGGACGAAACACAGGUGCUGCAUGGCUGUCGUCAGCUCGUGUCGUGAGAUGUUGGGUUAAGUCCCGCAACGAGCGCAACCCUCACUUUUAGUUGCCAUCAUUUAGUUGGGCACUCUGAAAGAACUGCCAGUGAUAAGCUGGAGGAAGGUGGGGAUGACGUCAAGUCCUCAUGGCCCUUACGUGUUGGGCUACACACG
rnacentral:rRNA from 1 species